rnacentral:rRNA from 1 species
AAAAAAUAGGUCUCAGUUCGGAUUGCAGGCUGCAACCCGCCUGCAUGAAGUUGGAAUUGCUAGUAAAUCGCGGAUCAGCAUGCCGCGGUGAAUACGUUCCCUGACCUUGUACACACCGCCCGUCACACCAUGGGAGCCGGUAAUACCCGAAGUCAGUAGCCUAACCGCAAGGGGGGCGCUGCCGAAGGUAGGAUUGGCGACUGGGGUGAAGUCGUAACAAGGUAGC